rnacentral:rRNA from 1 species
GACGAACGCUGGCGGCGUGCUUAACACAUGCAAGUCGAACGAAGUGGCGAACGGGUGAGUACUACGACGGGAACCUGCCCUCCUUAUCGGGAUAAGCCUUGGCAACGGGGUAUAAUACAGUAGAAAGGGGGAUGGGCUUGGGGCCAGUCAGCUUGUUGGUGGGGUGGAGGCCAACCAAGGCGGUGACGGGUUGCCGGCCUGAGAGGGGGACUGGCCACAUUGGGACGGCGAUACGGCCCAGAGUACUACGCAGGGCGGCAGUGGGGGAAAUUGCGCAAGGGGUGAAAGGCUGAUGCAGCGAGGCCGAGUGGGGGAUGAAGACUUUCGGGUUGUAAACUUAGUUCGAUAUCGAACGGGUAGGUAGAGAAGAAGCGCCGGCUAACUACGUGCCAGCAGCCGCGGUAAUUC